GCUUACGGCCAUAUCAUGUUGAGAGCACUGGUUCUUGUCCGAUCACCGAAGUUAAGCAAUGUCAAGCCUAGUGAGUACUUAGAUGGGUGACCGCUUGGGAAACCUAGGUGCUGUAAACA
rfam:Octopus bimaculoides Scaffold123892_contig_36, whole genome shotgun sequence.